CAUAAUCAUUGCAACAUCACUGAGGAAAUAAUAUUUGUAAAUAGUUUCUGUAUUUACUGUAUGUCAUCGGUAAUGUGGAGCAGGGUGGUGGAGCAUAUUGCAAAUGGAUUUAGUGCCUUCAAAGAUCCUUCAACGACUUUUAUCUUCUAGGUGCUGAUGGUGUUUUUCUAUGCCCGGGUAACAUCUGAAGGAUUCCUCUGAUGCUAAAUGGCCCUGCCCAGUUGGCGAAGGUUGAAAGACGGCAAAAGGGGGAAGCUUAAUGCGACAGAGCGGUCAGCUAGUUAGACGAGUGGAAAAACAGAAUGGGCUUGUUUCGGGGUAACGCCGCCUGUCACACAGCGUCACGAUCAGGCAGGAAGCUGAUUGAUGCUCCCUGCGGUCCGCCAUGACACAACUAAUCUGUGCCUGAGACUCUGGAAGGAUCCCC
ensembl:lncRNA